UGGGGAAUAUUGGACAAUGGGCGAAAGCCUGAUCCAGCGACGCCGCGUGUGUGAAGAAGGCCUGCGGGUUGUAAAGCACUUUCGAUGGGAACGAAAUGUGCCGGGUUAAUACCCCGGUAAGCUGACGUUACUCAAUGAAGAAGCACCGGCUAACUCUGUGCCAGCAGCCGCGGUAAUACAGAGGGUGCGAGCGUUAAUCGGAAUUACUGGGCGUAAAGCGCACGUAGGUGGCGACGUAAGUCGGGUGUGAAAGCCCCGGGCUCAACCUGGGAAUUGCAUUCGAGACUGCAUUGCUGGAGUACGGAAGAGGAGGGCGGAAUUCCCGGUGUAGCGGUGAAAUGCGUAGAUAUCGGAAGGAACAUCGGUGGCGAAGGCGUCUACCUGGCCUAAUACUGACACUGAGGCACGAAAGCGUGGGGAGCAAACAGGAUUAGAUACCCUUGUAGUCCCUGAGCGGGCUGGCAAGGCGCAU
rnacentral:rRNA from 1 species